rnacentral:rRNA from 1 species
CCUACGGGUGGCAGCAGUGAGGACUAUUGGUCAAUGGGCGCGAGCCUGAACCAGCCAAGUCGCGUGAGGGAAGACGGUCCUAUGGAUUGUCAACCUCUUUUGUCGGGUAGCAAACUCCGCCCCGCGUGGCUUUCCGCGAGUACCCGACGAACAAGCAUCGGCUAACUCCGUGCCCGCAGCCGCGGUAAUACGGAGUAUGCGAGCUUUAUCCGGAUUUAUUGGGUUUAAAGGGUGCGCAGGGGGAAGAUCAAGUCAGCGGUAAAAUUGAGAGUCUCAGACUCUUCGAGCCGUUGAAACUGGUUUGCUGGAGUGAGCGUGCAGUAGGCGGAAUGCGUGGUGUAGCGGUGAAAUGCAUAGAUAUCACGCAGAACUCCGAUUGCGAAGGCAGCAUACCGGCGCGCAACUGACGCUCAUGCACGAAAGUGUGGGUAUCGAACAGGAUUAGAUACCCUUGUAGUC